CGGGUCCAUAGCUCAGUGGUAGAGCAAUUGACUGCAGAUCAAUAGGUCACCGGUUCGAACUCGGUUGGGCCCUU
rnacentral:tRNA from 1 species